GUCUCCGGCGUGUCCUGCAUCUCGGCAGCCAGCUCCUCUGCAGCUCAGGCCCCGUGAGUCACAGCCGCUUCCUCAAAUGCUUUGGCUGACCGCAUCCCCCCGCCCCGCCAGAACCCUGGAUGCCGGAGCCCUCCCAGCGAGAGCCGUGUUUAUUUUACUUUACAUACAUUUUCCAACACGGAGCGGCUUGCACACAUGCAGCUCUUAGGCCCGGGCCGCACGUCUCAGAAGCCCCGUGUGCGACUUUGACCGCCGCACGAUCCUCUGCCGGGGGAGGUGGGCCCGCUGCGCUUUGGGAGCACCCGCGCCCGACACUGAGGUCUCGGUGCUGUGUUCGGCCUCUUCGUCCCUGCGGGUCCCCUCUGGGAGCAGAGGCGGUCGGAAAACCCUGGGGCUGAAGUGCAGGCUUCGGGAGGACGCGACCUGCCAAGAUCAGCUCCCGGCACGUGAUGGGAGCCUGGCUCACCUUCCCCCAGCGCACGAUGGGCCGCAGCCUCCCCGGUCGGCCUGGCCUGCUGGAAAGGAGCAGCUCUGUUUCCAGAGGCUUCUGGCGAAGCCCACGGCCUCCCAUUGUUGGCUGAUUUAUAAGGAAAGAGGGGAAAGGCCAAGUGUGGAUGCCAUUAGCAUAACCUAAUCCAGACCCCAUGACAAGUCCAGGAUCCUGCAGGGAGAGGGCAUCCUUGAACGUGAAGGACUGGCUUUGGAAACUUGGCCUCCCGGAAGAAAGGUCUCCGGGCCCACCCACACCCACCUUGUGGACGCCCCCGCAGUCGAAUACACUCCACAGGAAGACGGACCACAAACAGCAGCAGCCUCCGGUGUCGGCCCAGUGAUCCGGGAGCUCAGAGUGUAGGUACCUGACGGCUUGACUCGUCCCCAGGACAAGGCCUGUGAGAGGGAGGGGGGCACUCUGAGUGUGCGAAUGUGUGAGUGUGUGUGUCUGGGCACGAGUGUGUAUGCGUGUGUGUGUGCAUGUACUAUAUUCACAUGUGUGAGAGUGUGAAUGUGUGUGUCUGUGGGUCUGCGCACAUAAGUGUGUGUGUGCAUAUACUAUAUUCACGUGUGACUGUGCAAAUGUGAGUGUGUCUGUAGGUCUGGGCACGUGUAUGCGUGUGUGUGCGAGUACUAUAUUCACAUGUGUGAGUGUGCGAAUGUGUCUGUGGGUCUGGGCACACGAGUGUGUAUGCGUGUGUAUGCAUGUACUAUAUUCACGUGUGUGAGUGUGCGAAUGUGUCUGUGGGUCUGGGCACAUGAGUGUGUGCAUAUACUAUAUUCACAUGUGUGAGUGUGCAAAUGUGAGUGUGUCUGUAGGUCUGGGCACAUGUGUAUGCAUGUGUGUGCGAGUACUAUAUUCACGUGUGUGUGAGUGCGAAUGUGAGUGGGUGUGGGUCUGGUCACAUGUAUGUAUGCAUGUGUGCAUGUAUUAUAGUCAUGUGAGUGUGCAAAUGUGUGAGUGUGGGUCUGGGCACACAAGUGUGUAUGCAUGUGUUUCUAUUGUAUUCAUGUGAGUAUAAGUGCAAAUGUGUGUGUGUUCUCUGCACACACAAGUGUAUAGGUAUGUUUGUGUGUGCAUGCAUUGUAUUCAUGUGAGUGUAUGUGAAUGUGUGACUGUGAGAGUUUGAGUGUGCCUGUGUGUCUGGCUAUACUAGUGCGUGCCUGUGUUCGUGUGCAUCAGUCUGGGUGUGCCCGUGUGUGAAUGUGAGUGUCUAUGCGUGGGUGUCCCAAUAUGUGUGUGCCUGUGUAUCCAUGUCUGGGUGUGCCUGUGAGUGUGAGUGUGCACAUGGGUGUCUGGAUAUGUGAGUGCUUGUGACUACCUGUGUGAGUACCCAUGUCUAGGUGUGCCCGUGGGUGUGAGUGUCUGUGCGUGGGUGUCUGGAUACGUAUGUGCCUGUAUGAGUGUGUAUCCAUGUCUGGGUGUGCCCACGGGUGUGAGUGUGAAUAUGUAAGUCUUGCGUGUGCAUGAGUGUGUUCACAUGAGUGUGAGGGUCUGUGCAUAACAGCCUAUUGUGUGAGUGUGUGCAUGUGGAUUGCAUUUAUGUGAGUCCGUGUCUGUGCACGCACGUGUCCCCGCACAAGCCAGCCCGAGAGGGAGUGUCCCCUGAACACACCCUGGCAGCACUUGCAGCGUGACGAGGUUGAGGGAAUGUGUCGCUGAGGUCGUAAAUGCCUCUCGCACGUCCCAACACGCUGGAGCAACAGCAGCCCGUGACGCCGGCCGUGCAGCCGUGAAGUCCGUGGAGCGUCCCUAAUCACUGGGGGUUCUGCUUUGCGGCGACAGCGGUGCUACUCACAGCUCCAGAACUCUGCAGCUUCCCCCCUGAAACGGGAACGGGAAGGUGGCGCGGGCGUCCACACCUCGAGCCACAGCCGGCGGGAGGCACAGGCUGGCAAAACUGCCUCUCAGUAGUGAGAAGAGACAAACAAACCGAACGCCAGGAGCAGAGGAAACGAAGACGAUGUGGCCAAGAAAAAUUGCAUUUUUCUUUCCAGUUUUGCUAAAAUAGCCUUCUCAUUGGCUGCGGCUUUGGAGGUGGCAGAAAUCAUACGUUUAAUCACGGCGCCCUCCUGCUUGCCAAGCUUUGCGUCCUCCAGAAUUGUCCUGUGAGUGACUCCCACAGGAUGGAGACUUUUGUGUCUGGCUUCCUUCACUUCGCAGCAGGCUUCGCGGGACCCGUGUGGUGGCACCAGCGUCCCGCCCUUGGUGCUGCUGAGCUUGGCUCUGCAGAAACCCAUGAAAGAGGAUCCUGAAAGAGCAAGGGCGGCCUCCAGGUGAAGGUGGUGGGCGGCCUCCAGGUGAAGGCGGCCUCCAGGUGAAGGUGGUCAGCACCCUCCCUUUGGCCAAGAGGAGACUGCAGUUUCAACUCAAAGAUUAUUCCUGAAUGAUGCAGCAAGCUUAAACUUCCUUAAAAACAAACCUCUGGGAAGAGGAAAACGAGGCAAGAUGCUGAGAAAAAGUCAUCUCCCACUCUGCCCUUCUCUGGCAAAUCGAAGUGUCCUCUUGUGGGAGGCGGUGGGCAGCGACACUCCUGUUGGACGUCAGUGCUCUCGGGAUGGGCCCGGCCACCCCGGAGCAGAACUCACUUAGGGCCUGGUGCCCCUGUGCCCAGUUCUCAGAACGUCGGAGUGCUCAGUUCUCAGAACGCCGGAGUGCCCCAUUCAUAACCUGCAGCCCCGUUCAUAGCCUGCAGCUCCCCUCCUUCCUCUCCUCCCGGUCGUCAGGGAGCACCCCCAGCUCCCCUCCCCACUCUCAAACCCUCCUCCUCCCUCCCCUCUCUCAUUUCCCUGUUUGCAGGAUCUCCUCCUGCCCACUCUCCAGCCCAGGUCCUCCCCUCUCAUCUCCAAUUCUGCUUCAUGGGCCAUGACAGCAGGCAGGCCAUGGCCUGCUCUCAGCAGUUUGAUCGAUGGACUAAGGAGAUCACUCCUAUGAGAGUGAAAAAGUCAAAUGUGCCUGAGAUUCGGAUGGGGAGCUCUCAAAGCUACGGAUUGCAAGAGUCAACACCGCCUCAAAAGUACAAGGCCGGCCGGGUGCAGUGGCUCACACCUGUAAUCCCAGCACUUUGGGAGACUGAGGCGGGUGGAUCACCUGAGGUCAGGAGCUCAAGACCAGCCUGACCAACAUGGUGAAAUCCCGUCUCUAUUAAAAAUACAAAAAAGAUUAGCCGGGUGUGGUGGUGCAUGCUUGUAGUCCCAGCUACUCGGGAGGCUGAGGCAGGGGGAGCACUUGAACCCGGGAGGUGGAGGUUGCAGUGAGCCGAGAUUGCACCAUUGCACUCCAGCCUGGGCAACAGAGUGAGACCCUGCCUCAAAAAAAUAAAAAAAUAAAAGUACGAGGCCCGGUUUAAAUGCAGGAGGAAUCUGGUGAGCGAGUUUCACUCUGAUGCAACAGAAAAGCCAAGCCAAGCCUUGGCUGUGCCUGGUCUUGGCCGGGGAGCCACAGGCAGGGUCUGCUGGUUUCGGUGUCAGGGGCACAUCCCCAGGACCACGUCUGAGAUGGGAAGUGCCUUGAUGGAAAACUGAUACCUUUUUCUUUCCGAGUAACUUUAGAACAUGUCGCUUCAAAUAUAACUAAUAUCCUGAUUUCAGUGGACUUGCAUGGAAGGAAACGCAAGUUCAUUUGCCAGUGGGGGGUGAGGACUGGGAGAGUGGGGAGCAGGGUGGGGAAGAGGGGAGCAUUCCACAAGCCGCAAGAGCCUGGACACCUCCAGCCUUCAAUAAAUAGCAUUUGAAUUUGC
rnacentral:lncRNA from 1 species